GUAAAACCUUGGGCCUAAAACACUCAGAACUUCACUGGAAAAGUUCCCUCUUAUUCUUUUCCUCUCACCUGUAACCAAAAACCCUCAGAAAACACAAUUGAUGGCUACAGAAUCACCAAAAUUUCAUCACUGAAAGCUGUAGUUUCAUCCUGCAAUAGCUACAAAGAAGAAAAAGAAAAGCUUAACAAUGGCGAGCCUUCCUGAAGAUAUGAUCGUCAUUAUAGUAUCGAAGUUACCAGUCAAAUCGAUCUCUCGUUUCAGGUGUGUGUGCAAACGCUGGUGUGAAUUGUUCAAAAACCCUAAGUUUAUUAAGACACACCUUCACCAUGCUAUUGAAAACAACAAGUUUAGUGUCCUGCUUGAUACAAAUUUCGCGGCUUAUUUGAUAGGUUCUGAUGACGAGAAUAGGGGUGUUUAUAAAACCAUAGAUUUUGAUUUAACAUCCUCCUUGUCUUACCCUAUGGCUGUUCGAACUGAUCUCCCACAAGAUACGUUUCUACCUGGUUAUCUACGUAUUUAUUCAUGUGAUGGCUUAAUCGUCUUAUCCACUGGUAGUCGGAAAAUGAUAUGCUUGUGGAAUCCAUCAACACGAGAAUACAAGGAUAUACCCACACCAACGUCAAAUCUAGAAGGCUUCUCCAGAUAUGGUGUUUGUUACGAUUGGAAAAUUGAUGAUUACAAGUUGUUCAAGUUAGUGGCCAAUCCAGAAUUUAGUAUUACCUCUGAAGUUUGGGUUAGUAGAUUAGGUUCAAAUUCAUGGAAUAACAUUGGAAACUUAAGUUAUAAUGUGAAUCGUAGUAACAAUAUGUGUGUGAAGCCUUUAAAUGGAAUUAUACAUUGGAUAGGAGACACUGAAGUUAUAGUCUCGUUCGAUAUAGUUGAAGAGCGAACCAAAGAAAUCCAAGUACCCAGUUGCUAUCUACACGACUGCAGGUAUUCAUACGAAGAUAUGGAAGUGGUUGUCUUGGGAGAGGAACUUUGCCUAUCAGUUCAUCCAAGCGGUGAGAGCAACAUCGAGCUUUGGAUAAUGAAAGAUUAUGGAGUUACAGAUUCUUGGACCAAAAUUUUCAGCCUUUCAAGAGAUACAAUAAAUUUUUAUAUGUUAUUGCCCCUGCAUUAUCUCAAUAAGAAUCGCGAGAUUCUAUUACAGGGUUUACGUUUAGAAGGCAGGGAUGCUUUAGUCUCGUAUAACCCCAAAAGCGGAAGACUUGUGGCUCUUGAUAUUCCCGGCAUGCCAAAACAUUUUAAUGCAACUACGUUUGUUGGAAGUCUAGUUUCACUCAAUUCAGGUGAAUUCAUAAAGGCUUCAAAAAUAUCUGAGAUGAAUACCAGUGCUAGCGCUUACAAGUUCUUUUCGCUGACAGUUGAGCGAGCGAUAUCAGAAUAUUGGGAGCUACGAAGUAGGUAUGGCCUGCGCCCAUUUCUUGUUCUCUCGGCUGUGCUUGGCUCGUUCUCUGCAAUUAUCUUGCAUUUGGUAUUUUGGUAUCUAGAUCCUUCUGCUUGAAAUGGUUGAACAAGAGUCCCUGCUAUGAAACUGGAAAUGGUGGUAGCAGCACAUGUUGUCAUCAUCCACGAAAGAAACAACAAAGUCCUACAGAUUUGAACUUCCUUGUUGGUCCAAACUUGUAUGAAGCUAACUGGUUAGACUUGGUAAAAUUAUUGGUUCAAUGUGCUGAAAUAUAGUGUCCAAUGACAAAGGAGUUCUACGCUGAAUAUUUGAAAGAAGCGAAGAAAAGACAGGUCCUUUUAGAUCUAUGUUUACUGUGGUUCUGAAAGUCAGAAAGAGAUUAUAAGAUGUUUUCUACUACCAUGAUUUGUUUUGGUUCUACUACUUAGUUUUGCUGAAGCUGUCAGUGCCAGUUGCUGAUCUUAGAUUCAAUCUUUCCAGUACAAAUAGUUUCUGCAUUUGCCAUAAUACUCGUCUCCUUUCACGGGUCAGCUAAAUAUUUGAAAUUCAAUUACUUCUGAAGGGGUAAUGUGAAAUCUCCUUUCAUCAAUGGGUCAGAUAUUUGAAGUUCAGUUAGCUGUUUUCACUGAUUGGUUUUGCACGUCGUAUUUCUUAUGGAAGUUUAUUUGUAGUGAUGAAUCAAAAUAAGUUCCGAGCAUGUGAGUUUCUGAUAUGAUUUCAACCUUUUCGCGCUUACGGAGUAUUCCCGGAAAAGCUUUGGAACCUAUGAUAUAAGGUGCUACCAGGUUCGCAAUCAAUACAUGUCAAAUUCCUUAACUUUUCAGGGUUUGAUUCUCUUGUCACGCUUACAUACUUAAUGUGGAGUAUGCUUCAUCUCGCAACAAUGAACAUGUCACUUUUCCUGGAUCCACCGCAUCCUAAUCGGUGAACCAUGGACUCAAACCCAAAUGAUUCAACCAGUUGACUUCUUCCCUUUUGUUCCCUUAAAAGCGUGGGUCCGAAGAUGCGACUUUUUUUCUCCAUUUUUGUAACGUUCACAUAGCUAUCUCGAUGCCGGGUAAAGUCAACGUACUCUAGAAGAAGACUUCAAGACUACGAUACGACAAUGUUUAGUCAACAAAGCUGUUGAAGUGUAACGGGUAAACCAUGGAGAAGACUGACCUAAAUCAUCAUGACAAUGGGGAAAAUGUCCUACUUUCCUUCACCGGUAAUAGAGUUGUUGAGAUGUGAAGUGCUCACCACAAUGAGGUUCAGGAUUUUUUGAUCUUCGUAGAAAAACAAAUGAAAAUUAGAGGGUUUGUUUCAUUGUUUGAAAUCUUCAAUAUACAAGUAUAUUUUUUAUGCUUCAAUUUUUUAUUUUUAUGGAAUUGCUAGUGUAUUUGAAGGAGUAAUUCCCCGAACAUUCUUCAUAAUUUAAAAUUAGAAUCUUGUCAAUGGUGUUUCUUUUUUCUUCUUUUGCUGCUUUCAAGCCAAAUAGCGUUUAGGACUUUUUAAUGUUUAAAAACACAAAAUGAUAAAUAAAAGGAUUAGAUUUUCAAGCAUAUUGUUAUGGAACUAGUAGCAUACGUGAAGUAGUAAUUUUUCAAAAUAUUCCACAUCUUUAUUAAAAAAAUGAUAAGUAAAAAAAUAACAUGUUUAUUAAAAAAUAAUGAUAAGUAAAAAAAUAAAAUGUGAAGUUCUGAGGACGAGACUCGAACACAACACC